AAAACUAUGAUCUCCCACUAAACUAGAAGAAGAAGAAGAAGAUCUCUGCAUCCGGGACGUCACGGACUAGGUCACGUGUCUGGGCCCCUUAACGCGGAAGCAAAUCGCUCCUGUAUGUUACCCUCAUGGACAUAAUAAAGAAAAUGUAUAGUGCUAUUGUAACAUUUUCUUCCUUUUACUUUUAUAUAGAGUCUACUUUUUCAAGUUAUUCGGGGUGAGCAACUUUUUUUUUUUUUUUUCAAUAGAACAAAAAAAAAGAAAUCUUGGACAAACAGAUUUCUAAAAAAUGUGAGGACCUGAUGAAGACUGGCAUUGAACAAAAUACAAAUACCUGGGCUAGAGAUGGACUUUGGGGUCAAGUUUGUACCGGACUUGGCAUUCCAAACACAAAAAUCCAUCGAAUAAGACUUCAAGUAUAGCACAUCAAUCAUUUAAAAAGCACACAUCUCCAUCAUCUCCAUCGCCACAGGCUAGUGGAAUAGAUGAGCCUGGAGAACAGUAUUCUGAGCACACAUCACCAGGGUCCCUAUCGCCACAGGCUAGUGGAGCAGAUGAACCUGGACAAGAGUAUUCUGAGCUAAAGUCACUGUGGAAGAGAAAGAGCACAGAAGCUGUGGUUGCUGUGAUCCUGGCCCUCACACAUCCAGGUCACAGUUUUCUAAUUCAUCACAGCGAACUGUGCUCGCUGAGGCCUCACAGAUGGCUGACAGGCGAGGUAAUAGAGGGCCUCUUCCAUCUAAAUGCCAACCAAUGCCAACGUGGGCAGAGUAUUUACCUGCUAAACCAUUACACCGUAGGUGUAAUGGUGAUACAACACACAAAUGAUACAACACAGCUUGCCAAGGACUGACUUCAGCUUGUACCAAGCAAUACUCUCAUUUGUGAAUGUUGGAGGAGUACACUGGAAACUACUGUACAUAAUUUCUGCCACAUGCUCAGUCUUUUUGGUGGAUCCAAUGGAGAACAAAGCCGAGGAAGCGGAGUCCAAAAAUGCUGCAAAAAGAAUAGGUGAAUUCCUGAAGAUGAGAAAGAUCUGCCACGCAAAGAAUGACUGGGGGAGUAUAAAGUGGAGAGGAGCCACCAUGCCCCAUCCUCUUCAACAGGACAGCAGUAGUUGUGGGGUCAUCGUCACCAUGGAUCACUUUCCCUUGCCCUCCCUGGUCCAGCCUAUGGAGUGUGGACGUGAUGGGGAAAGGAGGUGACGUCUGGACUGAAGGUGGGGAGGUGACACGGCCAGGAGCUGGGAUGUGAUAAAGCUGCCCUGACUCCAGUCCUGAAGUAUAGCCGGUCAGAGGUAAUCAAUGAGUUAUCCUUUUCAAAACAGAAACAACAGUUACUUAUUAUUUCAAAGCUCCUCUCUAUCCACCAU